rnacentral:misc_RNA from 1 species
ACCGUAACACCGACUCGGCGCGGACUCCGGUCCCCGAGGAAAUGUCACACCCUUUGUUGUCCGACCACGUUGCCUCGGGGGCGACCCUGCCUUCGGGCUCGGUCCCCCCGGUGGACCAAACCAAACUCUUGCGUAACCUUGCAGUCUGAGUGAUUUACAAAUAAAUCA